UACGUAGGUGGCAAGCGUUGUCCGGAUUUACUGGGCGUAAAGAGCGCGCAGGCGGUCGUUCAAGUCGCGUGUGAAAGCCCCCGGCUCAACUGGGGAGGGUCACGCGAUACUGAUCGACUCGAAGGCAGGAGAGGGAAGUGGAAUUCCCGGUGUAGUGGUGAAAUGCGUAGAUAUCGGGAGGAACACCAGUGGCGAAGGCGGUUCUCUGGGACGGUACUGACGCUGAGACGCGAAAGCGUGGGGAGCGAACAGG
rnacentral:rRNA from 1 species